rnacentral:lncRNA from 1 species
AAAGAAACGGGUACAAAGAGCUGAACAUAGGGAGUCUAAACAGAUUGUUGAACAACUUCUAACUACUUCUGGGUCAACAACCCAACUCCAAGUUUGAGCUCAGGAAGAACAUUGUAGCCAAGGUGAUAUUAAAGAUGUACCAUCUACAUCUAAGUCAAUAGGGGUAAACACUGAUCCUUCCAAUCAGGCUUUGGAGCUUAUACGUUUGAAAGAAGAACAAAAUGAACUUUUAAGCCAACAAGUGAAUGAACUACUUAAAAUUAAAUCAGCAGUAGAGAGACUAUUCACACCAAUACAACUUACACGUCAUCAAAAUCAAAAUGUCCGUACGGUAUGGUCUGUGGAAGAAAUAUCUCAAGCCAUAACAAUAUAUUCAGCUGGUAGUAAAGCCUACCGUUUACUAU